GGGUUGUGAGGUUAAGCGACUAAGCGUACACGGUGGAUGCCCUGGCAGUCAGAGGCGAUGAAGGACGUGCUAAUCUGCGAUAAGCGUCGGUAAGGUGAUAUGAACCGUUAUAACCGGCGAUUUCCGAAUGGGGAAACCCAGUGUGUUUCGACACACUAUCAUUAACUGAAUCCAUAGGUUAAUGAGGCGAACCGGGGGAACUGAAACAUCUAAGUACCCCGAGGAAAAGAAAUCAACCGAGAUUCCCCCAGUAGCGGCGAGCGAACGGGGAGCAGCCCAGAGCCUGAAUCAGUGUGUGUGUUAGUGGAAGCGUCUGGAAAGGCGCGCGAUACAGGGUGACAGCCCCGUACACAAAAAUGCACAUGCUGUGAGCUCGAUGAGUAGGGCGGGACACGUGGUAUCCUGUCUGAAUAUGGGGGGACCAUCCUCCAAGGCUAAAUACUCCUGACUGACCGAUAGUGAACCAGUACCGUGAGGGAAAGGCGAAAAGAACCCCGGCGAGGGGAGUGAAAAAGAACCUGAAACCGUGUACGUACAAGCAGUGGGAGCACGCUUAGGCGUGUGACUGCGUACCUUUUGUAUAAUGGGUCAGCGACUUAUAUUCUGUAGCAAGGUUAACCGAAUAGGGGAGCCGAAGGGAAACCGAGUCUUAACUGGGCGUUAAGUUGCAGGGUAUAGACCCGAAACCCGGUGAUCUAGCCAUGGGCAGGUUGAAGGUUGGGUAACACUAACUGGAGGACCGAACCGACUAAUGUUGAAAAAUUAGCGGAUGACUUGUGGCUGGGGGUGAAAGGCCAAUCAAACCGGGAGAUAGCUGGUUCUCCCCGAAAGCUAUUUAGGUAGCGCCUCGUGAAUUCAUCUCCGGGGGUAGAGCACUGUUUCGGCAAGGGGGUCAUCCCGACUUACCAACCCGAUGCAAACUGCGAAUACCGGAGAAUGUUAUCACGGGAGACACACGGCGGGUGCUAACGUCCGUCGUGAAGAGGGAAACAACCCAGACCGCCAGCUAAGGUCCCAAAGUCAUGGUUAAGUGGGAAACGAUGUGGGAAGGCCCAGACAGCCAGGAUGUUGGCUUAGAAGCAGCCAUCAUUUAAAGAAAGCGUAAUAGCUCACUGGUCGAGUCGGCCUGCGCGGAAGAUGUAACGGGGCUAAACCAUGCACCGAAGCUGCGGCAGCGACGCUGAUGCGUUGUUGGGUAGGGGAGCGUUCUGUAAGCCUGUGAAGGUGUGCUGUGAGGCAUGCUGGAGGUAUCAGAAGUGCGAAUGCUGACAUAAGUAACGAUAAAGCGGGUGAAAAGCCCGCUCGCCGGAAGACCAAGGGUUCCUGUCCAACGUUAAUCGGGGCAGGGUGAGUCGACCCCUAAGGCGAGGCCGAAAGGCGUAGUCGAUGGGAAACAGGUUAAUAUUCCUGUACUUGGUGUUACUGCGAAGGGGGGACGGAGAAGGCUAUGUUGGCCGGGCGACGGUUGUCCCGGUUUAAGCGUGUAGGCUGGUUUUCCAGGCAAAUCCGGAAAAUCAAGGCUGAGGCGUGAUGACGAGGCACUACGGUGCUGAAGCAACAAAUGCCCUGCUUCCAGGAAAAGCCUCUAAGCAUCAGGUAACAUCAAAUCGUACCCCAAACCGACACAGGUGGUCAGGUAGAGAAUACCAAGGCGCUUGAGAGAACUCGGGUGAAGGAACUAGGCAAAAUGGUGCCGUAACUUCGGGAGAAGGCACGCUGAUAUGUAGGUGAAGUCCCUCGCGGAUGGAGCUGAAAUCAGUCGAAGAUACCAGCUGGCUGCAACUGUUUAUUAAAAACACAGCACUGUGCAAACACGAAAGUGGACGUAUACGGUGUGACGCCUGCCCGGUGCCGGAAGGUUAAUUGAUGGGGUUAGCCGCAAGGCGAAGCUCUUGAUCGAAGCCCCGGUAAACGGCGGCCGUAACUAUAACGGUCCUAAGGUAGCGAAAUUCCUUGUCGGGUAAGUUCCGACCUGCACGAAUGGCGUAAUGAUGGCCAGGCUGUCUCCACCCGAGACUCAGUGAAAUUGAACUCGCUGUGAAGAUGCAGUGUACCCGCGGCAAGACGGAAAGACCCCGUGAACCUUUACUAUAGCUUGACACUGAACAUUGAGCCUUGAUGUGUAGGAUAGGUGGGAGGCUUAGAAGUGUGGACGCCAGUCUGCAUGGAGCCGACCUUGAAAUACCACCCUUUAAUGUUUGAUGUUCUAACGUUGACCCGUAAUCCGGGUUGCGGACAGUGUCUGGUGGGUAGUUUGACUGGGGCGGUCUCCUCCUAAAGAGUAACGGAGGAGCACGAAGGUUGGCUAAUCCUGGUCGGACAUCAGGAGGUUAGUGCAAUGGCAUAAGCCAGCUUGACUGCGAGCGUGACGGCGCGAGCAGGUGCGAAAGCAGGUCAUAGUGAUCCGGUGGUUCUGAAUGGAAGGGCCAUCGCUCAACGGAUAAAAGGUACUCCGGGGAUAACAGGCUGAUACCGCCCAAGAGUUCAUAUCGACGGCGGUGUUUGGCACCUCGAUGUCGGCUCAUCACAUCCUGGGGCUGAAGUAGGUCCCAAGGGUAUGGCUGUUCGCCAUUUAAAGUGGUACGCGAGCUGGGUUUAGAACGUCGUGAGACAGUUCGGUCCCUAUCUGCCGUGGGCGCUGGAGAACUGAGGGGGGCUGCUCCUAGUACGAGAGGACCGGAGUGGACGCAUCACUGGUGUUCGGGUUGUCAUGCCAAUGGCACUGCCCGGUAGCUAAAUGCGGAAGAGAUAAGUGCUGAAAGCAUCUAAGCACGAAACUUGCCCCGAGAUGAGUUCUCCCUG
rnacentral:rRNA from 1 species